rnacentral:rRNA from 1 species
GAUGAACGCUAGCUACAGGCUUAACACAUGCAAGUCGAGGGACGGGCGCACGGGUGAGUAACACGUACCCAACCUGCCCUUUACUCGGGGAUAGCCUUUCGCAAGAAAGAUUAAUACCCGAUAGCAAGGAUGGGGAUGCGUUCCAUUAGGUUGUUGGUGAGGUAACGGCUAACCAAGCCUUCGAUGGAUAGGGGUUCGGAGAGGAAGGUACCCCGCGUUGGAACUGAGCCCCGGUCCAAUACCGUACGGGAUGGAGGAGUGUGGUAUAUUGGGCAAGGAGCGCUAGCCUGAACCAGCCAAGUAUCGUGAAGGAUGAAGGCUUUUGGGUCGUAAAUUUCUUUUAAAGAAGAAUCUGUAUUAGAUGAAUAAGGAUCGGCUAACUCCGUGCCAGCCGCCGCGGUAAUAC